UACAGAGGGUGCGAGCGUUAAUCGGAAUUACUGGGCGUAAAGCGUGCGUAGACGGUAAUGUAAGUCGGGUGUGAAAGCCCCCGGCUCAACUGGGGAGGGUCAUCGGUAACGGUCGUGCUAUGAGUGCAGGAGAGGGAAGUGGAACUCCGGGAGUAGCGGUGAAAUGCGUAGAGACCCGGAGGAACACCAGUGGCGAAGGCGGCUUCCUGGUCUGCGACUGACGCUGUGGCGCGAAAGCUAGGGGAGCAAACGGG
rnacentral:rRNA from 1 species